rnacentral:rRNA from 1 species
CACGUAGGGCGCGAGCGUUGUCCGGAAUUAUUGGGCGUAAAGAGCUCGUAGGCGGCUUGUCGCGUCGGCUGUGAAAACCCGUGGCUCAACUGUGGGCGGGCAGCUGAUACGGGCAGGCUAGAGUUCGGUAGGGGAGACUGGAAUUCCUGGUGUAGCAGUGAAAUGCGUAGAGAUGCGGAGGAACACCGAUGGCGAAGGCAGUCCCCUGGGCCAACACUGACGCUCAGGCACGAAAGCGUGGGGAGCAAACAGG